AUGAUACGCGAAGAACUUACCGGGUUUGACAUGCAGGUGAUCGCCGUUGUAAAGACGGUUUCCUCUUCGGAGGCACCUGCACAGGUGCUGCAUGGCUGUCGUCAGCUCGUGUCGUGAGAUGUUGGGUUAAGUCCCGCAACGAGCGCAACCCUUAUCCCCAGUUGCCAUCAGGUAAAGCUGGGGAACUCUGGGGAGACUGCCGGUGAUAAACCGGAGGAAGGCGGGGAUGACGUCAAGUCCUCAUGGCCCUUACAUCCCGGGCUACACACGUGCUACAAUGGCAGGUACAGAGGGCUGCGAAGCCGCGAGGUGGAGCGAAUCCCAGAAAAACCUGUCUCAGUCCGGAUUGAAGUCUGCAACUCGACUUCAUGAAGGCGGAAUCGCUAGUAACCGCGAAUCAGCAGGUCGCGGUCGAAUACGUUCCCGGGCCUU
rnacentral:rRNA from 1 species